GGUUAUGUAGUUUAAUUUGGUUAAAAUACCUCCCUGUCACGGAGGAAGAUGUGGGUUCAAGUCCCAUCAUAACCG
rnacentral:tRNA from 1 species